AGACAUUAGCGCGCCGUGUCCCUCCGUCCAUUUCCUCUGGGGACCUGUGUGGAAGAGUUCAGUUUUUUGCAAAAGCGGGGUUUUUAUUUGGACAUUGACAUCACAAGAAGAUUGCUGUUAUUCCAUGUUUCUGGCUGUGCUGGAAGUAGGUUAAUGCGAUUUAUUUUGAAAGCUCCAGAAAAGUCCGUACUGGCCUUUCAUUUUGUAACCCAUGGCUGUGGUCUCAACAAAACAAAUAGUCGUAUUUACUAUACUUAACCAAACCAAAUACUUGUAACAUCUAAAUGAUGUUUAAAUUUUACUAAAGGGCUCAGCAAGCACAGCAGAAAAAAGGGUGAGCGGUCACAUACUUGUGGAGCCUCCACACCAACGACAAGUUGAUUCCAUACGUCGCCACAAGGUGCUACUGUGCGCAGCCUGUCAUACAAUUUUUGGCCAUGCUGAGUUCUGCUCUGGCAAGAAGCAUUCCAAAUUUGGUCAAAAUCUGAUGGAAAUCCAGAUGGAAGCUGCACUUACUUGGAUAUUAGUGGGCGGUGCUAAAGUGAUAUCAAUUCACUGUGCCAACAUGUUCAGCAUUUGUCUAUAAUGAUGCAUACCAAAUUUGAAGUGGAUUCGAUGAUGUAUAAAGGAGAUAAAGUGUUGAUCCAAAUUCCAGUGUAAUCCAUUAGUUGUUUGGGGGACGACUAAGAAAAACAGCUUGCAAGAGUGAGAGGUUAAAAGGAGGACAUCCAACAGUGAAACAUUUGACUUCCUGUUCUAAGUGGGAGGGGCUAAAAUGAUGUCAUAAGUGUGUUGAGUAUUGUUCCACGAUGAUGUAUACCAAAUGUGAAGUGGAUCCAGUGAUAGAGCAGAUGGAGAUAGAUAGAGAUAAAGCGAUUUAAGCUUUCUAGGGGGCGAUGUUGAUCCAAAUUCCAAGGUAAUGUCAUAUCCACGGUGGUUGUGUGCAGGCUGGGUGCAGUCUGUGUUUUUUGUGCUGUGUUUCUCUCCUCCUACUCAGGAUGUGACUAGCAGGUGCUUCUGCGCAGCUGUUGCUCAUCAGUGAGCAAUCAACCUGGCCUUUAAGAGGAGUGGAGAACCAAAAGGAAGGCGUCAGCUCGUUGUCUCACAUAGCGUAGUAAACAGCUAGACCUCUGCUGCUCGGCAGUUAUUUCAACUGUUCUUCUGACCUAUUGUGUUUUCUCCUCUGCCUCUUAGGAAGACGUUUUUACCUGAGAUUCUAUGUAUUUUUUAUAUAAUAAAGUAUCUUUGAAUUGAAUUGAAUUUUUUGUGCCUCCGGUUAAUUCUUGCAAUGUUCUGAGUAUCAAGGAAAUUCAAGCCUUGACGUCUCGGCUGUGAGCCUCCACUCUGCCUCCAGGUUUCUAGAGUUUUGGUUCACCUGCUUCUGAGAACCUUCCACCUGCCUGUCCACCCUCCCAUGGCGAAUACCCCCUUUUAUGGAAAGAAUCGAAAAGAGAGAAACACUGUGUCUGAAGAACCAGGAAGCACUUUCUCUUCAGCUGCACCCGCCUGCCAACCUCAACCAUCGUGGAGCAGACUUAUUCCUCCCAGGCUUAGCUGAGAGCUCUGCCUUCUGAGAUCCCAAUCCUGCCUGCUGAUCCAGUCCUGGUUCCAGAUCACAAUUACUCCUGUAAAACCCAAUAAAUUGUUAAAGCGCUG